GGAUCCGCCCCUCGGCGCUGGGGACGCGGGGCGCGGGCAGCAGCUCGGCGCGCAAGGGCCGGGGCGCUCAGCUCCAGUUGGCGGUGAGUGCGGGCUCCCUCUCGCGUGGCCUCGCCGGGUCCGCCUGGCCUGCCCACCUCCGGAGCCGCCUCUGCCCCCGCAUGGGCUGGGGAAGUUGGGAGGAGCGAGCCGGAGCCAGAGCCCGCGCCGGGCGCGCCCCGCCGCUGCCUGACUCGGCGCCCGCAGUCCGGGCGCAGCGCGCCUGCCGUAGGAGCACGGAUGCCCCCCGGAGCCGCGGGCUGGCAGGUCUGGGGUCCUGAGGCUGCCAGCAGACUAUGGGUACAACGGCCAGCACAGCCCAGCAGACUGUCUCGGCAGGCACCCCCUUUGAGGGCCUCCAGGGCAGCAGCACGAUGGACGGUCGGCACUCCCUCAGUGUCCACUCCUUCCAGACCACUAGCUUGCAUAACAGCAAGGCCAAGUCCAUCAUCCCCAACAAGGUGGCCCCUGUUGUGAUCACGUACAACUGCAAGGAGGAGUUCCAGAUCCAUGACGAGCUGCUCAAGGCUCAUUACACGCUGGGCCGGCUCUCGGACGCCACCCCUGAGCACUACCUGGUGCAGGGUCGCUACUUUCUGGUGCGAGAUGUCACUGAGAAGAUGGACAUGCUGGGCACCGUGGGAAGCUGUGGGGCCCCCAACUUCCGGCAGGUGCAGGGUGGACUCGCUGUGUUCGGCAUGGGACAGCCCAGCCUCUCAGGGUUCAGGCGGGUCCUCCAGAAACUCCAGAAGGACGGACAUAGGGAGUGUGUCAUCUUCUGUUUGCGGGAGGAACCUGUGCUGUUCCUGCGUGCAGAUGAGGACUUCGUGUCCUACACACCUCGAGACAAGCAGAACCUUCAUGAGAAUCUCCAGGGCCUUGGACCUGGGGUCCGGGUAGAGAGCCUGGAGCUGGCCAUCCGGAAAGAGAUCCACGACUUUGCCCAGCUGAGUGAGAACACAUACCAUGUGUACCACAACAUCGAGGACCUGCAGGGGGAGCCCCACGCUGUGGCCAUCCGUGGUGAGGACGACGUGCAUGUGACAGAGGAGGUGUACAAGCGACCCCUCUUCCUGCAGCCCACCUACAGGUACCACCGCCUGCCUCUGCCCGAGCAAGGGAGUCCCCUGGAGGCCCAGUUGGACGCCUUUGUCAGUGUUCUCCGGGAGACCCCCAGCCUGCUGCAGCUCUGCGAUGCCCACGGGCCUCCCCCAGCCCUCGUCUUCAGCUGCCAGAUGGGCGUGGGCAGGACCAACCUGGGCAUGGUGCUGGGCACCCUCAUCCUGCUUCACCGCAGUGGGAUCACCUCCCAGCCAGAGGCUGCCCCCACACAGGCCAAGCCCUUGCCCAUGGAGCAGUUCCAGCUGAUCCAGAGCUUUCUCCGCAUGGUGUCCCAGGGAAGGAGGAUGGUGGAGGAGGUGGACAGAGCCAUCACUGCCUGUGCCGAGUUGCAUGACCUGAAAGAAGUGGUCUUGGAAAACCAGAAGAAGUUAGAAGGUUUCCGACUGGAGAACCCAGCCCAGGGAAGCGGCAGCCGACACAGCAUCUGGCAGAGGGCGCUGCGGAGCCUGGAGCGGUACUUCUACCUGAUCCUGUUUAACUACUACCUUCAUGAGCAGUACCCGCUGGCCUUUGCCCUCAGUUUCAGCCGCUGGCUGUGUGCCCACCCUGAGCUGUACCGCCUGCCCGUGACGCUGAGCUCAGCAGGCCCUGUGGCUCCGAGGGACCUCAUUGCCGAGGGCUCCCUGCGGGAGGACGAUCUGGUCUCCCCGGACGCACUCAGCACUGUCAGAGAGAUGGAUGUGGCCAACUUCCGGCGGGUGCCCCGCAUGCCCAUCUACGGCACAGCCCAGCCCAGCGCCAAGGCCCUGGGGAGCAUCCUGGCCUACCUGACAGACGCCAAGAGGAGGCUGCGGAAGGUCGUCUGGGUGAGCCUGAGGGAGGAGGCCGUGUUGGAGUGUGACGGGCACACCCACAGCCUGCAGCGGCCUGGGCCCCCUGUGACUCCUGACCAGCUGGAGACCCUGGAGGCCCAGCUGAAGGCCCAUCUAAGUGAGCCUCCCCCGGGCAAGGAGGGUCCCCCGACCCACAGGUUCCAGACCUGGCUCACCACGCAGGAGGUCUUCAGCCAGCACCGCAGGACCUGCCCCGGCCUCACCUACCACCGCAUCCCCAUGCCGGACUUCGGUGCUCCCCGAGAGGAGGACUUUGACCAGCUGCUGGAGACCCUAUGGGCCUCCCUCUCCAAGGACCCAGGCACUGGCUUCGUGUUCAGCUGCCUCAGCGGCCAGGGCCGUACCACGACUGCGAUGGUGGUGGCUGUCCUGGCCUUCUGGCACAUCCAGGGCUUCCCCGAUGUGGGUGAGGAGGAGCUCGUGAGUGUGCCUGAUGCCAAGUUCACUAAGGGUGAAUUUCAGGUAGUAAUGAAGGUGGUGCAGCUGCUGCCCGAUGGGCACCGUGUGAAGAAGGAGGUGGACGCGGCGCUGGACACCGUCAGUGAGACCAUGACGCCCAUGCACUACCACCUGCGGGAGAUCAUCAUCUGCACCUACCGCCAGGCAAAGGCAGCUAAAGAGGCGCAGGAAAUGCGGAGGCUGCAGCUGCGGAGCCUGCAGUACCUGGAACGCUAUGUCUGCCUGAUUCUCUUCAAUGCGUACCUCCACCUGGAGAAGGCCGGCUCCUGGCAGAGGCCCUUCAGCACCUGGAUGCAAGAGGUGGCAUCGAAGGCUGGCAUCUAUGAGAUCCUCAACGAGCUGGGAUUCCCCGAGCUGGAGAGCGGGGAGGACCAGCCCUUCUCCAGGCUGCGCUACCGGUGGCAGGCGCAGAGCUGCUGCCUCGAGCCCUCCGCCCCCGAGGACUUGCUGUAGGGGGACCUACUCCCUGUCCCCCACCCAUAGGGCCCCACGCGGGCCUGGGGUGUCUGAGGUGCUCUUGGCUGGGAGUGGCCCUGAGGGGUGCUGGUCUUGAGGAAAUGAUUCCCCUGCUUCCUAGAGAGACUGGGCGGAGUUGGGAGCCUUUUUAGAAAGAACUUUUUAUAGGACAGGGAGACAGCACAGCCAUCCCUUGCAAACCACCAAGGUGUGUGGCUGACCUCCAGGGAGCAGCACUCACUGGAGUGCUCACAAGGUGCACACUCUGCUGUGUGCACCUGCAAACAGGCUGGCGUUUGGCCUCCAAGGAGCUCACUCCCCCAGUUGCCAGACACUGUGGAUCUCUUUGUCCUCCUCUCCCUGCUCUCAGAUUGGCCUGGCAGCCCCUGGCACAGAGCAGACCCAGCCACUGGUAGCUCCCCACUUCCUUACUCCGGCUGCUCUGCCAUUGCCGCUCCCCUUCUUGCUGCCCAAGCACUGCCCUCGGGCGUCUCGCAGCCUGAGGUGGGUGGAGGGGACAGUGUUCUGGAUAGACCUAUUAUGUGAAAGGCAGCUUCACCCAGUUUUCUGGACUCUCAUGCUCGCAUCUCCAACCUGGGAGACUGCAGGAAGAACACCUACCCAGCCUGGUGGGGCUGGCAGGAUGGUGGAGGUUUCUCAAGGAGCUGGAGACCUUGGGGAGCCCCUCUCGGGGAGGAAAGAGCUUCCAGGAUGCGGACGCAGCACAGUGGAAGAGGCCUGCUCCACUUGCCUGGGAACCUGGGCAGGAGGCACAGAGGAAGCCACGGCCUGGAGAUGCAGGUCCCCCGGCACCUCUCCCUGUCCCAGCAGCCCAGGAUGGCCUGGUGCCCCCACCUGCUGCAGCAGGAGCCCCAAGGAGUGCUGGCCAAGGGCGGUUGCUGGGGUGGUCCUCAUGGACAGUGAGGUGUGCAGGGGUGCACUGAGGGUGGUGGGAGGGGAUCACCUGGGUUCCAGGCUGUCCUUGCUGAGCAUCUUUGAGCCUGCCUCCUGGUGGAAGCAGAAAAGGCCAGACCGUGCUGAGUUAGAGGCUGCUGGGAUCCACUCUGUCCACACAGCGGGAGGGCUGCUGGGAGCAGGUGGUAGAGAAGUGCCAUGUUUGAGUUGGGUCUUGCAGCUCUUCCAGCUGGGACUGGUGCUUGCUGAAACCCGGGAGCUGAACAGUGAGGAGGCUGUCCACCUUGCUUGGCUCACUGGGACCAGGAAAGCCUGUCUUUGGUUAGGAUCGUGUACUUCUGCGGGAAAAAAAGAAAAAAAAAAAAAAAAAAAGGAUGUGCCAUUGGUCAUGAUGUUUGAAAAGAGGAGGAGGCCGAAGUUGUUCCCAUUUACCCAGUAUUGGAAAAUAUUUGACCCCCUUGGCUGAAUUCUUUUGCAGAACUACUGUAUGUCUGUUCACUACCUUUUCAGGUUUAUUGUUUUUAUUUUUGCAUGAAUUGAAAGUUUUAAUUUCUUUGCAGACAAGGUCUAGAUGCGGAGUCAGAGAUGGGACUGAAUGGGGAGGGAUCAUUUGUAUUCUCAUGGUUGGCUCUGACUUUCAGCUGAACUGGGACCACUGGCUGAUCACAUCACCUCUCUGCCUCAGUUUCCCCAUAUCUGUAAAAUGGGAGAAUAAUACUUGCCUACCUACCUCACAGGGGUGUUGUGAGGAUUCAUUUGUGAUCCUGUGGAUUUUUUUUUUUUUUUUGUACAGGCUUCUAACUUUAAAAAAAACAGCUAAAUGUGA